rnacentral:rRNA from 1 species
GACGAACGCUGGCGGCGUGCUUAACACAUGCAAGUCGAACGGAAAGGCCCUGCUUUUGUGGGGUGCUCGAUUGGCGAACGGGUGAGUAACACGUGAGUAACCUGCCCUUGACUUUGGGAUAACUUCAGGAAACUGGGGCUAAUACCGGAUAGGAGCUCCUGCUGCAUGGUGGGGGUUGGAAAGUUUCGGCGGUUGGGGCUGGACUCGCGGCUUAUCAGCUUGUUGGUUGGGUAGUGGCUUACCAAGGCUUUGACGGGUAGCCGGCCUGAGAGGGUGACCGGGCACCAUGGGACUACGGUACGGACCAGAGUCCUACGGGAGGCAGCAGUGGCGAAUAUUGCCCAAUGAGAGGAAGCCUGAUGAGGAAACGCCGCGUGCGGGAUGACGGCCUUCGGGUUGUAAACAGCUGUAGCCUGUGACGAAGCGUGAGUGACGGUAAUGAGUAAAGAAGCACCGGCUAACUACGUG